rnacentral:rRNA from 1 species
CCUACGGGUGGCUGCAGUAGGGAAUUUUGCACAAUGGAGGAAACUCUGAUGCAGCGACGCCGCGUGAGUGAUGAAGGCCUUCGGGUCGUAAAGCUCUGUUCUCAGGGAAUAAAAAAAUGAAGGUACCUGAGGAGAAAGGACCGGCUAACUUCGUGCCAGCAGCCGCGGUAAGACGAGGGGUCCAAGCGUUGUUCGGAAUCAUUGGGCGUAAAGCGGGUGUAGGCGGCUCUGCAAGUCAGGAGUGAAAGCCCCAGGCUUAACCUGGGAAGUGCUUU